UUUCCGUAGGUGAACCUGCGGAGGGAUCAUUACAGAGCAUCAUGCCCUUCGGGGUAGAUCUUCCACCCUGUGUAUUAUAUACCUUUUGUUGCUUUGGCGGGCCGCUUCGGCCACCGGCUUCGGCUGGUGCGUGCCUGCCAGAGGACCCCAAACUCUGAAUGUUAGUGUCGUCUGAGUACUAUCUAAUAGUUAAAACUUUCAACAACGGAUCUCUUGGUUCUGGCAUCGAUGAAGAACGCAGC
rnacentral:misc_RNA from 1 species